CAGAGACACAUUGAAAUCUAUCGCAAAGAUAAAACCUGAACCAAGACAGGCCACCUCCUGACAAUCCCACUGAGCUUUCAAGACAAGAUAGAACACCUCCUGACAACCCCAAUGAGCUUUCAAGAAGAUUCAAUAAAAUGAAGUGGUCUGCAGUAUAAAGCAGAACUUAGAUCUAAAAUAAUUAAAAUUGAGGGAAAGCUCGAGUCAGAGCUUAUCAACAGAUUUAACAAGGGCUGUCUCGAUGCUAUGUGCAGCCAAAAUCCACACUGAAACUUUUCAUAUACGUUACUAAGAGCUAGAAAUUUGAUUGGCAACAACUCCCUCUAGAACCUUAGCUAAAAAUGGCACAUUGGAGAGCUGCCUUUAAUUAUUAAGGAGGGUCCAAGUAAAUGUUCUUGAACAAUGGCUUUACCAUGGCGACCUUAAGUGCUAAGGGAACUCUGGACUCAGACUCAGUCACCGGAAGGUAAGGCAGACAGGCCCGUUUCGUCUUGCCGUGGAGACUUCAGCCAUCGGUCAAGACAUCAGGAUUAACCCACUACUGUAACAUGACGUGCACAGAGGUAUCAGGAGUGAGUGUCCAAGAAAGCAUACGGAAAGCAGGAACAAGACUUGGUUGACUACGCACUUACUGCAGGACAAAUGUUGAAACAAAGUGCACAACACAACCAUCUUGACAGAGGGAGCAUGUCUUUAAUCACACAUGAGCUUUAUUGU